rnacentral:rRNA from 1 species
CCCUUAGAUGUCCUGGGCCGCACGCGCGCUACACUGAGUGUCUGAGAUACGAGUCUGCCUGGUCCGGCAAGGUCUAGGUAAUCGCUAAAAGACACAUCAUGCUUGGGAUAGAUUAUUGCAAAUAUUAAUCUUGAACGAGGAAUUCCUAGUAAGCGCAAGUCAACAGCUCGCGUUGAUUACGUCCCUGCCCUUUGUACGCACCGCCCGUCGCUACUACUGAUUGGAUGUUUAAGCGAGGUUCUCGAACUGCUAGCGACUUAGCUUCGGUGAGGUCGCAGUGUGGGAAGUGAACCUAGCUUUGGUGUCUAGAGGAAGUAAAAGUCGUAACA